rnacentral:rRNA from 1 species
AUUGAACGCUGGCGGCAUGCCUUACACAUGCAAGUCGAACGGUAACAGGUCUUUCGGGAUGCUGACGAGUGGCGAACGGGUGAGUAAUACAUCGGAACGUGCCCAGUAAUGGGGGAUAGCUCGGCGAAAGCCGGAUUAAUACCGCAUACGCCCUGAGGGGGAAAGUGGGGGACCGCAAGGCCUCACGUUAUUGGAGCGGCCGAUGGCUGAUUAGCUAGUUGGUAGGGUAAAGGCCUACCAAGGCGACGAUCAGUAGCUGGUCUGAGAGGACGAUCAGCCACACUGGGACUGAGACACGGCCCAGACUCCUACGGGAGGCAGCAGUGGGGAAUUUUGGACAAUGGGGGAAACCCUGAUCCAGCAAUGCCGCGUGUGCGAAGAAGGCCUUCGGGUUGUAAAGCACUUUUGUCAGGGAAGAAAUCCUUUGGGCUAAUACCCUAGGGGGAUGACGGUACCUGAAGAAUAAGCACCGGCUAACUACGUGC